UACAGAGGUCCCAAGCGUUGUUCGGAUUCACUGGGCGUAAAGGGUGCGUAGGUGGCAGGGUAAGUUUGAUGUGAAAUCUCCGAGCUUAACUCGGAAACUGCAUUGAAUACUAUCCUGCUCGAGGUUUGGAAGGGGGACUGGAAUUCUCGGUGUAGCAGUGAAAUGCGUAGAUAUCGAGAGGAACACCAGUGGCGAAGGCGAGUCCCUGGACAACACCUGACACUGGGGCACGAAAGCUAGGGGAGCAAACAGG
rnacentral:rRNA from 1 species